UAAAAAUAGGAAUAAACCUAGCUGCACUUUCUCACUCUCACCUCCGUCCUCUCUCGGCUGUGCCUCUCAUCUCGGCGCCGCUUCUCCGCCUCCUCCGUUGGCUGGGCAAUUCCACCUCCUAGCACGCCGCUCGCACAUCUCAGGAUUGAAAGGGAGAGAUGAAGAAAGGGAUUCACCCUCAAAUGCAAUGGAUAUCCUAUGUGACCCAAAGCGGUCGGCUUAUGCCCGUGAUGAUGACCAAGAUUCAUGAGACUGGUAAAGUUUAUCAUUUGCGAGCAAAGCGGCAAAUGGCUCAGAACUUAGGGCAGAUAGCCAAGUUCAAGCGUAGAUAUGGAGAAAAGGAAGGGGAAGGGGAACCUGUAACGGAAAGCGAAACCGGAAAUAAAUGAAUCUACUGAGGUACUAAAUGUAUGGUAGACUGCCUUGUUUUCUGGUUUGGGACUUGGUUAUGAUGGUUACUACUCCGCCCCAUUAAGAUUCGUACAGUUCUGCACUGAUGCAUGCACGUCAUUAUCGAUUUCUAAUCAUAAUAAAAUGUGCUUGUUAUCUGUUUGCCCUUCAUCAAUCUAGAGGAAUAUAAUGCCAGAUUAUGUUUUA